GUAGUCUGCAACCCGACUACAUGAAGCUGGAAUCGCUAGUAAUCGCGGAUCAGAAUGCCGCGGUGAAUACGUUCCCGGGUCUUGUACACACCGCCCGUCACACCAUGGGAGCCGACAACGCCCGAAGUCAGUGACCUAACCGAGAGGGAGGAGCUGCCGAAGGCGGGGUGGAUAACUGGGGUGAAGUCGUAACAAGGUAUC
rnacentral:rRNA from 1 species